AGUUAUCAGCUGAUGACAACUUGAUUAACAGACAACCUUUUUAUCUUUUUCGAUCCUUUGUAACUAUCGUUUAUUGUUCCAUUGGCAGUCAUUGUUUAACACCGGGCACCUGCAGUACCUAGAAUUUAAGGUUAAGAAGAAAAAAAAAAGAAAGAAAUUACCUAUACGAAGGAAAUUGUUGCUUCGAAUAACACACGACAACGCUUAGAAUUGCCUGUAUAGUAUUUGAAAUUGGUUAAAGUGUAAUAUCAAUUUAAAGAGAUGCUACUCGUUUGCUAUUAAUUUAGAGACAAAGAAAUUUUAGUAGAUGCACUAACACUUUGUUGCACACCAUUAGGUAAACUAUACAUAAUGUAUACUUGAUAUAGACACAAGAUUUCUUUACAAAAUAUGUCAUGCGUGUUCACAUGUACCACGAUUAAAUAAUUACUACGUUACAAUUAUUUGCAGACUAUCCGUAACGUUCUUAACCGACAAUAACACCUUGUCCUUGUGAAAAUGACACAAUGACUUCCUGGAGCGACGCACGACGCAUACAAAUCACGCUGGACUAUCAUCCUAAUUUCUUUAUUCCUGUGCAAAGGCUACCCGGCACGUGCGCGUUGUAACGUUAAAAGUAAAAGGAGAAUACGGAAGCGGAAUAAUAGAACGCUCAUGAAUUUUGCGACGUUUUAUUAAACAGGCUUGCUGAUUAAAGCUGUUUCUUACAAAAAAAAAAAAAAAAAAAAAACAAUUUAUACAAGUCUCCUUUAGCGAGGCUGCUUCCCUACACGCGUUACAAUUGGUCGUUAAUCUGCAGUCGAGUUUCGUGCGUCGAUAUUAUAUCUAUAUUACUGGCGACGAAUAACCUGGGAUGAGUUCAACUGCCUUGUGAGGCCACGGAACGGAGGAUUAAAUUAGCUCAAAGGAAGAGAGCUAAAAGAGGAAAAGAAAGAAUUGCUAAAAGAUUCGAGGUUUCGAGAAUCCAAGGAUCCCAUAUUUUCUAGGAAUAACAAACGAAAGUAUUAGCAAUUCGACGAUGGAUGGAAGUCGAAGCCCCCUCAGCCCCCUUCUUUAAUAUCCGCCAUCGAGGGCAACGGUGGCAGUCAAACUCAAACUUUGAUGCCGCGCUUCUUCGCUUCCUCCUCGAAUUUCAUUCUGUA